ACGGAGGGUGCAAGCGUUAAUCGGAAUGACUGGGCGUAAAGCGCACGCAGGCGGUCUGUUAAGUUGGAUGUGAAAUCCCCGGGCUUAACCUGGGAACUGCAUUCAAAACUGACAGACUAGAGUCUCGUAGAGGGGGGUAGAAUUCCAGGUGUAGCGGUGAAAUGCGUAGAGAUCUGGAGGAAUACCGGUGGCGAAGGCGGCCCCCUGGACGAAGACUGACGCUCAGGUGCGAAAGCGUGGGGAGCAAACAGG
rnacentral:rRNA from 1 species